rnacentral:rRNA from 1 species
GACGAACGCUGGCGGCGUGCUUAACACAUGCAAGUCGAACGGAAAGGCCCUGCUUUUGUGGGGUGCUCGAGUGGCGAACGGGUGAGUAACACGUGAGUAACCUGCCCUUGACUUUGGGAUAACUUCAGGAAACUGGGGCUAAUACCGGAUAGGAGCUCCUGCUGCAUGGUGGGGGUUGGAAAGUUUCGGCGGUUGGGGAUGGACUCGCGGCUUAUCAGCUUGUUGGUGGGGUAGUGGCUUACCAAGGCUUUGACGGGUAGCCGGCCUGAGAGGGUGACCGGCCACAUUGGGCCUGAGAGACGGCCCAGACUCCUACGGGAGGCAGCAGGGGGGAAUAUUGCACAAUGGGCCGAAGCCUGAUGCAGCAACGCCGCGUGCGGGAUGACGGCCUUCGGGUUGUAAACCGCUUUCGCCUGUGACGAAGCGUGAGUGACGGUAAUGGGUAAAGAAGCACCGGCUAACUACGUG